rnacentral:rRNA from 1 species
GGGUUGUGAGGUUAAGCGACUAAGCGUACACGGUGGAUGCCCUGGCAGUCAGAGGCGAUGAAGGACGUGCUAAUCUGCGAUAAGCGUCGGUAAGGUGAUAUGAACCGUUAUAACCGGCGAUUUCCGAAUGGGGAAACCCAGUGUGAUUCGUCACACUAUCAUUAACUGAAUCCAUAGGUUAAUGAGGCGAACCGGGGGAACUGAAACAUCUAAGUACCCCGAGGAAAAGAAAUCAACCGAGAUUCCCCCAGUAGCGGCGAGCGAACGGGGAGGAGCCCAGAGCCUGAAUCAGUGUGUGUGUUAGUGGAAGCGUCUGGAAAGGCGCGCGAUACAGGGUGACAGCCCCGUACACAAAAAUGCACAUGCUGUGAGCUCGAUGAGUAGGGCGGGACACGUGGUAUCCUGUCUGAAUAUGGGGGGACCAUCCUCCAAGGCUAAAUACUCCUGACUGACCGAUAGUGAACCAGUACCGUGAGGGAAAGGCGAAAAGAACCCCGGCGAGGGGAGUGAAAAAGAACCUGAAACCGUGUACGUACAAGCAGUGGGAGCACGCUUAGGCGUGUGACUGCGUACCUUUUGUAUAAUGGGUCAGCGACUUAUAUUCUGUAGCAAGGUUAACCGAAUAGGGGAGCCGAAGGGAAACCGAGUCUUAACUGGGCGUUAAGUUGCAGGGUAUAGACCCGAAACCCGGUGAUCUAGCCAUGGGCAGGUUGAAGGUUGGGUAACACUAACUGGAGGACCGAACCGACUAAUGUUGAAAAAUUAGCGGAUGACUUGUGGCUGGGGGUGAAAGGCCAAUCAAACCGGGAGAUAGCUGGUUCUCCCCGAAAGCUAUUUAGGUAGCGCCUCGUGAAUUCAUCUCCGGGGGUAGAGCACUGUUUCGGCAAGGGGGUCAUCCCGACUUACCAACCCGAUGCAAACUGCGAAUACCGGAGAAUGUUAUCACGGGAGACACACGGCGGGUGCUAACGUCCGUCGUGAAGAGGGAAACAACCCAGACCGCCAGCUAAGGUCCCAAAGUCAUGGUUAAGUGGGAAACGAUGUGGGAAGGCCCAGACAGCCAGGAUGUUGGCUUAGAAGCAGCCAUCAUUUAAAGAAAGCGUAAUAGCUCACUGGUCGAGUCGGCCUGCGCGGAAGAUGUAACGGGGCUAAACCAUGCACCGAAGCUGCGGCAGCGACGCUUAUGCGUUGUUGGGUAGGGGAGCGUUCUGUAAGCCUGUGAAGGUGUGCUGUGAGGCAUGCUGGAGGUAUCAGAAGUGCGAAUGCUGACAUAAGUAACGAUAAAGCGGGUGAAAAGCCCGCUCGCCGGAAGACCAAGGGUUCCUGUCCAACGUUAAUCGGGGCAGGGUGAGUCGACCCCUAAGGCGAGGCCGAAAGGCGUAGUCGAUGGGAAACAGGUUAAUAUUCCUGUACUUGGUGUUACUGCGAAGGGGGGACGGAGAAGGCUAUGUUGGCCGGGCGACGGUUGUCCCGGUUUAAGCGUGUAGGCUGGUUUUCCAGGCAAAUCCGGAAAAUCAAGGCUGAGGCGUGAUGACGAGGCACUACGGUGCUGAAGCAACAAAUGCCCUGCUUCCAGGAAAAGCCUCUAAGCAUCAGGUAACAUCAAAUCGUACCCCAAACCGACACAGGUGGUCAGGUAGAGAAUACCAAGGCGCUUGAGAGAACUCGGGUGAAGGAACUAGGCAAAAUGGUGCCGUAACUUCGGGAGAAGGCACGCUGAUAUGUAGGUGAAGUCCCUCGCGGAUGGAGCUGAAAUCAGUCGAAGAUACCAGCUGGCUGCAACUGUUUAUUAAAAACACAGCACUGUGCAAACACGAAAGUGGACGUAUACGGUGUGACGCCUGCCCGGUGCCGGAAGGUUAAUUGAUGGGGUCAGCGCAAGCGAAGCUCUUGAUCGAAGCCCCGGUAAACGGCGGCCGUAACUAUAACGGUCCUAAGGUAGCGAAAUUCCUUGUCGGGUAAGUUCCGACCUGCACGAAUGGCGUAAUGAUGGCCAGGCUGUCUCCACCCGAGACUCAGUGAAAUUGAACUCGCUGUGAAGAUGCAGUGUACCCGCGGCAAGACGGAAAGACCCCGUGAACCUUUACUAUAGCUUGACACUGAACAUUGAGCCUUGAUGUGUAGGAUAGGUGGGAGGCUUAGAAGUGUGGACGCCAGUCUGCAUGGAGCCGACCUUGAAAUACCACCCUUUAAUGUUUGAUGUUCUAACGUUGACCCGUAAUCCGGGUUGC